rnacentral:rRNA from 1 species
UAAAGCACUGUGGGGAGAGACGAAACAGCGCAUCAUGGAAAUGGUUGCGCCUUGACGGUACCUCYUUAGCAAGCACCGGCUAACUCUGUGCCAGCAGCCGCGGUAAUACAGAGGGUGCAAACGUUGUUCGGAUUUACUGGGCGUAAAGCGCGUGUAGGCGGACUCGUAAGUCGGUUGUGAAAUCCCUGGGCUCAACCUAGGAACUGCAUUUGAAACUGCUUGUCUUGAGUAAUGGAGAGGGUGGCGGAAUUCCCGGUGUAGAGGUGAAAUUCGUAGAUAUCGGGAGGAACAUCAGUGGCGAAGGCGGCCUACCUGGACAUUUACUGACGCUGAGACGCGAAAGCGUGGGGAGCAAACAGGAUUAGAUACCCUGGUAGUCCACGCCGUAAACGAUGAGAACUAGGUGUAGCGGAUAUUGACCUCUGCUGUGCCGUAUAACGCGUUAAGUUCUCCGC